GCCAGCAGCCAUGUCACUCUGCAUUUCACAACUGGCAACCCACUGAAGCUCAGCAGGUGUGAGCCUGGUCAGUACCUGGAUGGGAGACCUCCUGGGAAAAACUAAGGUUGCCGCUGGAA
rnacentral:rRNA from 1 species